rnacentral:rRNA from 1 species
UGGGGAAUAUUGCACAAUGGGCGCAAGCCUGAUGCAGCCAUGCCGCGUGUAUGAAGAAGGCCUUCGGGUUGUAAAGUACUUUCAGCGGGGAGGAAGGGAGUAAAGUUAAUACCUUUGCUCAUUGACGUUACCCGCAGAAGAAGCACCGGCUAACUCCAUGCUAGCAGCCGCGGUAAUACGGAGGGUGCAAGCGUUAAUCGGAAUUACUGGGCGUAAAGCGCACGCAGGCGGUUUGUUAAGUCAGAUGUGAAAUCCCCGGGCUCAACCUGGGAACUGCAUCUGAUACUGGCAAGCUUGAGUCUCGUAGAGGGGGGUAGAAUUCCAGGUGUAGCGGUGAAAUGCGUAGAGAUCUGGAGGAAUACCGGUGGCGAAGGCGGCCCCCUGGACGAAGACUGACGCUCAGGUGCGAAAGCGUGGGGAGCAAACAGG